AUCUUACGCAGUAUGAGAUUGUGUUGAAUGAAGGCCACAUACGAGAAGUUACAAAACUGGUUUUAAGUUCAACAGUUCAAAGUCUAGUUCUACUGAAGUUUGACCAGGAAGUUAACUUAACAUCAACGUUAUUUAAGGUACCAAGGCUUUCGACUAAAAAAAUAAGAACGUGUCGAAAAAGAGAAAAACCAAAUCCAGAAUAUUUAAUUGGAAUAGCUCAAAUGUUUUAAAAGAACUUAAAGUUCGUAUUGUCAGCGACACGAAUUGCAAACAGCAACAUUCAGACGUCUAUUACGAUGAAAAACAUCAAAUAUGCUAUGUGACAGUUUCUCAGGAAAAUGACAAUUCCGAGUGUAAUCUGAUACGAGGUUUGCCCAUAAUGAGCAGAAUCAAUGAGAAAUGGACAAUAGUAGGCGUUACAACUUCUGCAGGAAAUAUUUGCGGAAGAGCUUUCCAGUCGGCAGUUAGAGUUUCAUUUGUAAGAAACUGGAUAAAUUCAGUUACUGGUUAAAUUGUGUGACAAAGCCAAAUAGAUCACAAGUAUGUCAAUAUAUGAUAUAGAAUUCUGUUGUGGUUUUCUUUCGGAGUUAAAAAAGCUGCGUGCUUCGGACGA
rnacentral:lncRNA from 1 species